CUGUGAGCUCGAUGAGUAGGGCGGGACACGUGGUAUCCUGUCUGAAUAUGGGGGGACCAUCCUCCAAGGCUAAAUACUCCUGACUGACCGAUAGUGAACCAGUACCGUGAGGGAAAGGCGAAAAGAACCCCGGCGAGGGGAGUGAAAAAGAACCUGAAACCGUGUACGUACAAGCAGUGGGAGCACGCUUAGGCGUGUGACUGCGUACCUUUUGUAUAAUGGGUCAGCGACUUAUAUUCUGUAGCAAGGUUAACCGAAUAGGGGAGCCGAAGGGAAACCGAGUCUUAACUGGGCGUUAAGUUGCAGGGUAUAGACCCGAAACCCGGUGAUCUAGCCAUGGGCAGGUUGAAGGUUGGGUAACACUAACUGGAGGACCGAACCGACUAAUGUUGAAAAAUUAGCGGAUGACUUGUGGCUGGGGGUGAAAGGCCAAUCAAACCGGGAGAUAGCUGGUUCUCCCCGAAAGCUAUUUAGGUAGCGCCUCGUGAAUUCAUCUCCGGGGGUAGAGCACUGUUUCGGCAAGGGGGUCAUCCCGACUUACCAACCCGAUGCAAACUGCGAAUACCGGAGAAUGUUAUCACGGGAGACACACGGCGGGUGCUAACGUCCGUCGUGAAGAGGGAAACAACCCAGACCGCCAGCUAAGGUCCCAAAGUCAUGGUUAAGUGGGAAACGAUGUGGGAAGGCCCAGACAGCCAGGAUGUUGGCUUAGAAGCAGCCAUCAUUUAAAGAAAGCGUAAUAGCUCACUGGUCGAGUCGGCCUGCGCGGAAGAUGUAACGGGGCUAAACCAUGCACCGAAGCUGCGGCAGCGACGCU
rnacentral:rRNA from 1 species